rnacentral:rRNA from 1 species
UGGUGGAGUGAUUUGUCUGGUUAAUUCCGUUAACGAACGAGACCUCGACCUGCUAAAUAGUUCGGCGAACUCAUUCGGGUUCGUACAAACUUCUUAGAGGGACUAUCGCGCGGUUAGCCGAUGGAAGUUCGAGGCAAUAACA